rnacentral:rRNA from 1 species
UCCAGACUUCUACGGGAGGCAGCAGUGGGGAAUAUUGGGCAAUGGGCGCAAGCCUGACCCAGCAACGCCGCGUGAAGGAAGAAGGCUUUCGGGUUGUAAACUUCUUUUCUCAGGGACGAAGAAAGUGACGGUACCUGAGGAAUAAGCCACGGCUAACUACGUGCCAGCAGCCGCGGUAAUACGUAGGUGGCAAGCGUUGUCCGGAUUUACUGGGUGUAAAGGGCGUGUAGCCGGGUUGACAAGUCAGAUGUGAAAUCCUGCGGCUUAACCGCAGAACUGCAUUUGAAACUGUUGAUCUUGAGUACUGGAGAGGCAGACGGAAUUCCUAGUGUAGCGGUGAAAUGCGUAGAUAUACGGAGGAACACCAGUGGCGAAGGCGGCCUGCUGGACAUUAACUGACGCUGAGGCGCGAAAGCGUGGGGAGCAAACAGGAUUAGAUACCCCAGUAAG